UAUAAGAAUAUUAUAUGUCAUAUAUUUCUAUGAUAUCCGUAUUACAUAAAUACAUUUUUCAUAACCAUUCAGUUAUCAAUGGACACUUAGAUUGCUUCCAUAUCUUGGCUAUUGUGAAUAAUGCUACAAUGAAUAUGGAGUACAGAUAAUCUCUCCCAGAUAGCAAGUUCAUUUCCUUAGGAUACAUACCCGGAAGUGAGUGGCUGGACCAUACAGUAGUUCUAUUUUUAAUGAAUGGGAGGUCAGAGUGUCUAACCUCCCACACCGUUUUCCAUAGCAGCCGCACAAAUUUACAUUCCCACCAACAGUGCCCAAGGGUUCUCCUUUCUCCACGCCCUCUCCAACACUUGCUGUCUCUUGUCUUUAUGAUAACAGACAUUUGACAGAUGUGAGGGGAUAGCUGAUUUGCAUUUCCCUGAUAGGAGCGAUGUUGAGCAUCUUUUCACAGAAUUGUUGAUCACUUGCGUGUCUUCUUUGGAAAUAUGAUUCUUUAGAUCCUUGCCCAUUUUUUAAUCAGGUUAUUAGGGUUUUGUUUUGUUUUGGUUUUGCUAUUGAGUUAAGUGUCCCUUAUAUAUUAACCCUUUAUUGGAUAUACAGUUAGCAAAUAUUUUCUCCCAUUCUAUAGGUUGCCUUUCCAUUUUGUUUCCUUUGCUGUCCAGAAGCACUUUAGUUUGUUGUAGUCCCCCUCGUUUAUCUUUGCUUUUGUUGUCUGUGCUUUUGGUAUCACUUCCCAAAAAAGGUCAUUAACAAGACCAAUGUAAAGGAGCUUUUUCCUUAUGUUUUCUUCUAGGGGUUUUAAAGUUUCAGGUCUUACACUUAAGUCUUUAAUCCAUUCUGCGUUCAUUUUUGUGUGUGGAUAAGCAUCCAAUUUCAUUCCUUUCCAUGUGGUUAUUCAGUUUUUCCAACACCAUUUAUUGAAAAGACUAUCCUUUCCCCAUUGUGUAUUUCUGGUGCCUUCCUUGAAAAUUAGUUGACCAUAUGUGUGUGGAUUUAAAGUUUUGUCAAUUCUUUUCCUGUUAAAGAAAGAAGAAAAUGUUGGUUAAGUUUAAAGCUUGUUUAAUAGCAAAAUGGAGCCCGUAGACCUUCUCCUGCUCUGCAGGUACUGAGUUAGGUCCCUUGGUUUCUCCUGCCUCUAACAUAAGUAGUAGAGAUGGAGAGGAUUUCCACUUGAAGUUUUGAGCUAUCAAAGAGAGCACUGCUCUGGGCAACCAUGCUGUCCUGGGCCACUUCUUGGCACCUUUCCUACUGUGUACCUAAGCUGACUCAAAACACCUGUAUGCUCUCCUCCAGGUGCAGGUACCAGACCUUGCAGCCAUUACCAAAACUUGUGGAUUAAUUGGUAAGGAGCUUGUGAUUCUCUUCGUCUCCCUCAAGACUCAUUCGCCUGAGUAGCGCUGUAAAGUGAAACCCCUUUGCUACUCCAGCAUUGCCAAUACCCCGUUUUAUCUAGAAUGCACCCCUCCUGUCUAACCUUGAUGGAUUCUUUAGGAAGUAUUAUAAGAUAAAACUCUGGUGUUUUCAGGUUGUGUCCUUGGAUUCCUUCUGAGUGUCCCUUCUCAUGGGUUGAGUCUCCUACUGGGCCACUCUACCACCAGCAUACACCAUUUACCCGAGCAGAGCAGAUUUCUGUCCAGGACCUGUCUAGGACAGUGGGAGGUUAGCAUGAGAGAACACCAUUUAUUUCAUCUUUCACUCACUUAUACGUUCCUUAAUCAUAUAGUCACUCAUUCAAGAAGCAUUAAUUGAAUAUUUACUAUGCACUAGUUAUUUUGCUGCCAUGACCAGUGAGGUACAGUGAUGAACACGACAGCUGAGUCUCUGACCUGCGUGAAAAAGCUGGAGAGACACAUUACAUAAGUGAUGAACAAAUUAAGAAGGUCACAAGUUGUGGGGACACGCUGAAGAAAUCAGCAAGAUCUUGAAGAAAAGCAACCUGGAAGAGGACACUCCAGACAAGGUGGUCCAGGAAUGCUCUGAAUCAAUUAGUAACGUCUGAGCUGAGACAUAAAGAUGAAGAGGGGGAGCCGUAUGAAGACCUGAGGAAGAGCAUCUCCUAGAGAGGAAGCUGAUGGAAAUGCUGACAGACGGCAAAGAACCUGGAACACUCUGUGGGACUGGGCAGGCCAGACCAUCCUCAGCUUUGUGGCAUGUGUAAGUGAAAUUUUAUCCCAAGAACAGUGGGAAGACAUCGAAUGGUUUGGAGCUGCAGGAGAGACAUGAUCAGAUUUAUGUACUAAAAAGAGAGCUCUGGCUCCUGUAUAGAGAACAAAUUCUAGGUACACCUGGGGAUUCCAGUUUAAAGCUAGAGUCAUCUGGACAGGAGAUAAUGGUGAAGACAAUGACAGUGGAGAGCUGGGGGCAUGCCCAAGGACGUUUUUGAACCUAGAACAGACCUUGCUGAAGGACUGGCUAUUGAAGAGUGAGAAAGGAAGAAUGCCAGAUUGACUCCUGCGACCUGUUCUUGAAAGGCUGGGCAGGCAGCAAGGCCAGUUUCUGGAUGGAGCGAACUGAAGGAGGCUGUCCCCGGGGUCUCUGCCUGGCGCCCUGUGGGCUGAUGGAGUGCAGAUGGGAAUGUGGGUCUGCAAGUGUGCUCCCGUCGCUUUGGUGAUGGGAAACGCCAGUGGCCGACUUGGCCUCGUCCUCUCCUGCAACUCUCCUAAUGACUCCAUGAGGGGGUCCUAUCAUACCCUGAGACAGAAAACAGAUCUGCCCUGGCUUCCACGGCGACGCCGCACGCGCCUGCCCUCAGGACGCGGUGCACCCGAGGACUGCUUCACCCAGGCUCAUGGGUCUAGUGUCACCCUGCACCGGUUAGUGUCUCUCUGGGACGCAGCUUUGUUGUAGAGCAGGCGGAAGCCAGGACUCACAGGUCCGCCGUGCAGGUGAUGUGAAAUUUAGAUUAAUGAGUCGAGUGACAGGAGAGUCUUUUGGAAACUCCCAGGAGGGCCAAAGUGAGACACAAGCAUCAGAAAGUUCCCCCUUGCUGGAUAUGCACCUGCUGCAAAUUAUUUUAACUCUGUUUCGCCAAAAAGAGACUUAACCCAGAAAAGCUGAGUACUGCUGAGGUUGAAUGAUGAACGGUGUAGUGACUAAGACUGGAGGCUAGAACACAGGCCUGCAGCAAGAUUCUUGCUCUGAAAGUCCAUGGAAACAGCUUAAUGAGUUCUGUGUGUUUUUGCAUGGGAAGCAGGUGUCUCAGUGAGUUGAACUUGUGUUGAAUAUGAUGUUUCACUAAAUGUCUCUAAACUCUCUAAUGUCUAAAUGUCAUUAAACUCUCAGGAUUCCUGGCUAGCUUUGCAGUAGAACAUGUGACUCUUGAUCUCUGGGUCAAGUUCAAGUUCCAUGUUGGGUGUAAAGAUUACUUUAAAAAUUAAAAAAAUAUAUAUAUGUAUAUAUAUAAUGAUUUCCAUCCCACUCCUUAGCUCUUUUCUAAUGUAUGGCACAUUUAUAAUGAAUGUGCUGUGUUAUCUAGUAUAUUCUGAACCGAAUGUUAAUCAGAUGAGAACUGAAUUCUCCAUUUAAAAGUAUACAUGCCUGAAAGUUAAAAGUAGCUUUCUGCACACUAGCUAUGGAUGCCCUACUUUAGGAACUUGGUUUCUCCUCCAUGCCUCUCAUCCUUCCACUGCCCAGCAUCAGAGAACAUGCCUGCAUCACCAUGGGACACCUGGUCCUAUACUUCCCCGUCAAGAGGCUGGAGGAGGGGCAUUUGGGUGCCUCAGUCGUUAAGCCUCUGCCUUCUGCUCAGGUCAUGAUCCCAGGUCCUGGGAUCAAGCCCCAUAUCCAGCUCCCUGCUCAGCAGGAAGCCUGUUUCUCCCUCUCCCACUCCCCCUGCUUGUAUUCCCUCUCUCACUGUAUCUUUCUCCAAAUAAAUAAAUAAUAUCUUAAAAAAAAAAAAAAACACAAGAGCCCAGGGGAAUCCAGUGGCUAGUCAUACAACUAUCUCUAUAAUUCCUAAACCUGAACGUCUGGCAAGAACGUAACCACACACGGAAGAGAAUGGGAUCACCUAAAUGUAUCCCACCAAAUCAGACUAAGUGUAUUCCAUCUUAACCUCACCUACCGCCUCCCCAAAAUGUCCACAUCCACACCCUACCAGAGGGGAAGGGGGCAUAGGGUGACACACCAAUUUUAACCAUUUAUGGGUAAGUCAUCUUACUUUUGCAAAUUUUACAAAAACACAUGACCUUGUGAAACUGCUGUGAAAGGCGUCACGCAGGGUCUUCAAAAGGAACCUAUGCACCUGACGGGACCUGAAGCUUAAACUUCAUCACCAUCACAGUAGAUCCACUUCUCAGAACAGGAAAGUAACUCACAAGCCAAUGCUGUCCAAAGGUGAAUUUUUGUGUGAAUGGAGCCACCAUGCCUUAAUUCGGCUGGGUGAGAUGGGUCACGUUUUUUAGUCCCCAGAGAGCAGAACAGCCUGACCCUGGAAAGUCAUCUCUGGACCCAUAGUUACUUACUGUGCGCCUCCUCGCCCAGGCACUGUGCUGAGCAUCAGGCCAGAGAGAAGGAAACAUGGUCCCCUUCUCUCAAGGGGGUCACCUUCGGCGAAGUGGAUCUCUGUACCCUGUGGCAUGUGCUACGUGUGAGAAGGGAACAGAUGUUAAUGGCACACCAACAGAGGCAUGAAUUCCUUCAGAUGGGGGGGGGGAUGGUGGGGGAAGGAGGAGAGGGUGAUGCCUGAGCUGAGUUUAGGGGUAAAGUAUUUAGGUAGGUAGAGAUGAGAGAUAAGAAUUCUCUUCCGCCUUCUCUCUGGGCUGGGAUAGGUCAUCUUCUGCAGUGAUUUCCUAAAGCCUAAAGAUGGGUAGAGCAGCCAGGUGGAUAAAGUCAUCCAGUGUGCAAAAGGAAGAUGGGAAGUGUGUUCAGAGAGUGCUAACUGCAGCCGUACAAAGGAAGUGAUGAAAUCCCUAAGCCCUCCCUUUGGGAAAGGUAAGGGUCUCCUUGCCCAUGAAAGCACCCCCUGGUGGAGACAUCUAGUAAUACAAAUAUGCUCCUACAGCUUCUCUGAAAAGCCCCAGCUACUCACCUGCACCUCUCUAACCCUGAGAGCUCUAAACUAUGCAUUUGUGUAUUUUACUUUUAAACCCUGGAAAAGAGUUACAGUGCUAAUAUACUAUGUACUUCAUUAUGUAUAUACAGAUAGAGAGAUUAAAGAUACAGGACACAAAAAAUGAAUUGCAGGAAGAAAAAAUUACAGUGGUAAUAUACUAUGUACUUCAUUAUGUAUAUACAGACAGAGAAAUUAAAGAUACAGGACACAAAAAAUGAAUUGCAAGAAAAAAUUUAAUAAAAAUUUAAUAUUAAUAUGCAUGGGACCAUCAUGCAUACUCAUGGGGUAUGUGGCAUCAUUUUGGAGACCUCCAAAAACUGGCAUGUCAAUAAUGCUGGUCAGUAGCAUGGGGCAGGGGGUUAACAUGGAGACUGAGGGGUCAGCUGGUCUGGAUGUGAACCCUGGCUGCUCCACUUCCUAGACCGUGACAAUGGUCAUAUCCUUUCUUUAAAAACAUGAAUGAUAAUUGUAAAGACCUCACAGAGUUCUUGAAAAAGUUCCUUAAUAGAAACCAUUGAAAUUAGUGCCUUGAACAUGGUAAGCACUUUAUAAAUGUUACCUAUUAUUUUCCUAAGUGCCACUAUAAAAUAAUUUUAAAUCUGGGGCGCCUGGCUGGCUCAGUGUGUGGAGCGUGGGACACUUGAUCUCAAGAGUCGUGAGAUCGAGCCCCACAUGGGACUUGGAGCCUACUUUAAAAAUAAUCUUCUAAAUAUUUUUUUUUAAAACAUUGUCCCUUAAAAGGUUUUUAAAACCCAGGUGGGAGGAAAAGGAAAGAGGAGAAGUCCAGAAGGACUUCCUGAAAAAAUGAUGCCUAGUUGAAUUUGAAUUUCAGAAUUUGCCGAGCAAACGUGAAGGCAACUAGAGUCAGCUCAGUCCUUUCUUAGCUAAACUAUGUUAGUAGAACUUCUUCAUACAAGUUAGUCCUUGCUCUUAUGCCCCCUUCCUGUCUUUCAUCCAAACUCCUCUCCAGAGCCUCUUUGUUGUUUCCAGGGGCUUUUUCACUUACUACCUAGAGGAAUGUCACUUAACUGCUGAUGUUUGCACACUCUCUCUUCUGUCUCCUCGAUUUAGCCCCAUAAUCAAAGAGUGAAGCCAGUCCACCCCCCAGACUCCCCAGCAGGCAGAGGUGGCUUUGGGACCCCUUUCUGUCCCAGAGGGGUUGGCAGAAGUCCAAGAGGCAGACGCUUCUCUCUCUUUGCUCUAUACUCUGCCCUAUUCUUCCUGCCUCCUCUUGCUCACAGAGCCUGGAAUCGUGUCCAUAUUGAAGUCUCAAGGAUAAAAGGGUCACACUAAGACUGAGAAGGAGCCUGAUUUACUGGGAAGUUCCCUGAACCUCUACACAGGCUACAAAGCCCUGAAUGGCUUUAUAAGCCAUUCAGGUCUUUGCUAUAUAUAUAUAUAUAUAGAGAGAGAGAGAGAGAGAGAGAGAUCUACUUCUCUACCCGCUGUUGCACUGCUGUUGGAUGGCCAUUUUAUUACUUGCUGCCAAACACAUUCAUGGCUCUGGAUUGGCCAUGUCAGUAAGGGAUGUCUAAUAGAGAGGAAUGGAGAAAGGUCCGUGGGGAACAGCAGGUCCCCUGAGGAGGCCUGGACAUCCAUUAGACACCCAAGAACCUGGGGCGCCUGGGUGGUUCGCCGUGUUGGGCAUCUGGUUCUCGGUCUCCGCUCAGGUCGUGAUCUCCCAGGUCCCAGGAUCAAGCCCAGCAGCAUGGGCAUCUGGCUCCGCGCUCAGCGGGGAUUCUGCUUGAGAAUUCUGUCCCUCUGCCCUUCCCCCACUCCCGCUCGCUCUCUUGCUCUCUUUUUAAAAUAAGUAAAUAAACCUUUAAAUUAAAAAAACAAAAA